UGUGUUUCAAACAUUUUCAUAUAAAUUACCAAUUUCGCCUCCUACAUUAGCACUUUUUAUCGCCUACAUGUUUGACCGGCGCUACGCCCCCUCUACUGUCAACACCUACGUCUCGGCUCUCGGCUAUUCCCACAAAUUAAUGGGAUUGAUGAAUCCCACUAAAAUAUUUUACAUUGUGCAAAUGUUGAAAGGCUAUGGCAAACAGGGUUUUCGUUUGGACGCUAGGUUGCCUAUUACGCUAAAGAUUUUAAAUCGAUUAGUAAUGGCUGUGCCACACUGUGUCGCUACGUACUACGACCAGUGCCAAUUUCGUGCGAUGUGUGCUCUAGCAUUCUUCGCAUUUUUGCGCGUGGGUGAGAUCACCGCAACAUCACAGGCGGGCAAUUGCCCUAUACAGGUAAACCAGCUCACCAAACUCUCAAGAGAUGGUGAAGUGAUUGGUUACAAAUUAAUAUUUGCUGAUUACAAGCAUAACUACAAUCAGCGACCAUUUACUAUGGUCAUCAACCGGCAAACAAGCGCUUGCCCUGUACAAUUAUUAUCAACAUAUUUAAAUCAUCGUG